rnacentral:rRNA from 1 species
GACGAACGCUGGCGGCGUGCUUAACACAUGCAAGUCGAACGGAAAGGCCCUGCUUUUGUGGGGUGCUCGAGUGGCGAACGGGUGAGUAACACGUGAGUAACCUGCCCUUGACUUUGGGAUAACUUCAGGAAACUGGGGCUAAUACCGGAUAGGAGCUCCUGCUGCAUGGUGGGGGUUGGAAAGUUUCGGCGGUUGGGGAUGGACUCGCGGCUUAUCAGCUUGUUGGUGGGGUAGUGGCUUACCAAGGCUUUGACGGGUAGCCGGCCUGAGAGGGUGACCGGCCACAUUGGGACUGAGAUGCGGCCCAGGCUCCUACGGGAGGCAGCAGUGGGGAAUAUUGCACAAUGGGCGGAAGCCUGAUGCAGCAACGCCGCGUGCGGGAUGACGGCCUUCGGGUUGUAAACCGCUUUCGCCUGUGACGAAGCGUGAGUGACGGUAAUGGGUAAAGAAGCACCGGCUAACUACG